rnacentral:rRNA from 1 species
UACCAGCACCCCGAGUGGUCGGGACGUUUAUUGGGCCUAAAGCAUCCGUAGCCGGUUCUACAAGUCUUCCGUUAAAUCCACCUGCUUAACAGAUGGGCUGCGGAAGAUACUAUGGAGCUAGGAGGCGGGAGAGGCAAGCGGUACUCGAUGGGUAGGGGUAAAAUCCGUUGAUCCAUUGAAGACCACCAGUGGCGAAGGCGGCUUGCCAGAACGCGCUCGACGGUGAGGGAUGAAAGCUGGGGAGCAACCGG